rnacentral:rRNA from 1 species
AUAGCGAGAAAAGAAACAACAGGGAUUGCCUCAGUAAACGGCGAGUGAAGCGGCAACAGCUCAAAUUUGAAAGAUCUGGCACUCUCAGGGCCCGAGUUGUAAUUUGCAGAGGAAGUUCCUGGCAUAAGUGCCUCCUGAGUCCACUGGAACGGGGCGCCAGAGAGGGUGAGAGCCCCGUAUAGUUGGACACCGCAAGUCUGGGCAAAAAGUGCUUCCCCUUCGACGAGUCGAGUUGUUUGGGAAUGCAGCCUUAAAAUGGGAGGUAAAUUUCAUUCUAAAGCUAAAUACUGGCCCGAGACCGAUAGCGCACAAGUAGAGUGAUCGAAAGAUGAAAAGCACCUUUGAAAAGAGAGUUCCCAAACAGCACGUGAAAUUGUUGAAAGGGAAGGAUUUGUAACCAGACUUGCGCCGCGGGGAUCUCCCGGUGUUCUCACCGGGCUACUCCGCCACGUUCAGGCCAGCAUCGGUUUUGGGGGGGGGUUAAAGGCGCCGGGAAUGUAGCUCCCCCCCGGGGUCGAGUUAUAGCCCGGGGCGCCAUGCCCCCGCCGGGAUUUGAGGCUCGCCCCGCGUUUCGGAUGCUGGGGCAAUGGUUGUUAGUCACCCGUCUUAA